rnacentral:rRNA from 1 species
ACGCUAGCUACAGGCUUAACACAUGCAAGCCGAGGGGCAUCAGGAAGAAAGCUUGCUUUCUUUGCUGGCGACCGGCGCACGGGUGAGUAACACGUAUCCAACCUGCCCUUUACUCGGGGAUAGCCUUUCGAAAGAAAGAUUAAUACCCGAUAGCAUAAUGAUUCCGCAUGGUUUCAUUAUUAAAGGAUUCCGGUAAAGGAUGGGGAUGCGUUCCAUUAGGUUGUUGGUGAGGUAACGGCCCACCAAGCCUUCGAUGGAUAGGGGUUCUGAGAGGAAGGUCCCCCACAUUGGAACUGAGACACGGUCCAAACUCCUACGGGAGGCAGCAGUGAGGAAUAUUGGUCAAUGGGCGCUAGCCUGAACCAGCCAAGUAGCGUGAAGGAUGAAGGCUCUAUGGGUCGUAAACUUCUUUUAUAUAAGAAUAAAGUGCAGUAUGUAUACUGUUUUGUAUGUAUUAUAUGAAUAAGGAUCGGCUAACUCCGUGCCAGCAGCCGCGGUAAUACGGAGGAUCCGAGCGUUAUCCGGAUUUAUUGGGUUUAAAGGGAGCGUAGGUGGACUGGUAAGUCAGUUGUGAAAGUUUGCGGCUCAACCGUAAAAUUGCAGUUGAUACUGUCAGUCUUGAGUACAGUAGAGGUGGGCGGAAUUCGUGGUGUAGCGGUGAAAUGCUUAGAUAUCACGAAGAACUCCGAUUGCGAAGGCAGCUCACUGGACUGCAACUGACACUGAUGCUCGAAAGUGUGGGUAUCAAACAGGAUUAGAUACCCUGGUAGUCCACACAGUAAACGAUGAAUACUCGCUGUUUGCGAUAUACAGUAAGCGGCCAAGCGAAAGCAUUAAGUAUUCCACCUGGGGAGUACGCCGGCAACGGUGAAACUCAAAGGAAUUGACGGGGGCCCGCACAAGCGGAGGAACAUGUGGUUUAAUUCGAUGAUACGCGAGGAACCUUACCCGGGCUUAAAUUGCAGUGGAAUGAUGUGGAAACAUGUCAGUGAGCAAUCACCGCUGUGAAGGUGCUGCAUGGUUGUCGUCAGCUCGUGCCGUGAGGUGUCGGCUUAAGUGCCAUAACGAGCGCAACCCUUAUCUUUAGUUACUAACAGGUUAUGCUGAGGACUCUAGAGAGACUGCCGUCGUAAGAUGUGAGGAAGGUGGGGAUGACGUCAAAUCAGCACGGCCCUUACGUCCGGGGCUACACACGUGUUACAAUGGGGGGUACAGAAGGCAGCUAGCGGGUGACCGUAUGCUAAUCCCAAAAUCCUCUCUCAGUUCGGAUCGAAGUCUGCAACCCGACUUCGUGAAGCUGGAUUCGCUAGUAAUCGCGCAUCAGCCACGGCGCGGUGAAUACGUUCCCGGGCCUUGUACACACCGCCCGUCAAGCCAUGGGAGCCGGGGGUACCUGAAGUACGUAACCGCAAGGAUCGUCCUAGGGUAAAACUGGUGACUGGGGC